rnacentral:rRNA from 1 species
CCCUUAGAUGUUCUGGGCCGCACGCGUGCUACACUGAGUGGAUCAGCGGGUCAGGUUGCGCGAAAGUGUUUCCUAAUCUUUAAAUCCGCUCGUGAUGGGGAUUGACGGUUGCAAUUUUCCGUCAUGAACGAGGAAUACCUUGUAAGCGCGGGUCAUCAUCCCGCGCUGAAUACGUCCCUGCCCUUUGUACACACCGCCCGUCGCUCCUACCGAUUGAGUGGUCCGGUGAGGCUUUGGGAUCUGAGCGGAAAGAGCGUUUCGCUGUUUCUGCCCGGAAAACUCAGUCGAACCUUAUCAUUUAGAGGAAGAAUAAGUCGUAACA